rnacentral:rRNA from 1 species
GCAGCCGCCGCGGUAAUACGGAGGGGGCUAGCGUUGUUCGGAAUUACUGGGCGUAAAGCGCACGUAGGCGGCUUGGUAAGUUAGAGGUGAAAGCCCGGAGCUCAACUCCGGAAUUGCCUUUAAGACUGCCGAGCUAGUAGGUGAGAGAGGUAAGUGGAAUUCCGAGUGUAGAGGUGAAAUUCGUAGAUAUUCGGAAGAACACCAGUGGCGAAGGCGGCUUACUGGCUCAUUCUAGACGCUGAGGUGCGAAAGCGUGGGGAGCAGACAGGAUUAGAUACCCCGGUAGUCCCUGUCUCUUAUAC